AAACACAGACCUGUACAAUCAACCCAUUGCAAACACAGACGCGGCAAUGGGUUGAUUGUACAGGUCUGUGUUUG
rnacentral:pre_miRNA from 13 species